UUUUGUUUUUUUUUUUUUAAUUUUGCAUAUUUUCAUAUAGUUAAUGUGGGAUAUCAAAAUCGGAGCUGCCAUAACUUGUGCAUAGCUUAGCCUUAUUGAAGUCUAGACUUUGACAAUUCAAGAGUUGAGAUUUUAAGGCAAACUCUUUGUGUUAAAGCGAGCAGUCAUCGGCCGCAGAUUGCCUCAACUUUGCCACAAAGUAUCUAAUGGAUGUGGCAAGCGUUGUGAGUGGCCUUUGUUGUCGUUGACUUGGCGCGUGCAUUAAGUGGACUAGGCAAUUGUGGACUGAACGCCCCUUCCCCCCUCCCGCAACCCUGCCACACCCUCCCCUCCCCUGACCGACUGUCCGACUGUCAAGCUGUCUAGAGAUAUUUUGCAAGAUUUCGCCAAUUUGAGGUGCGUUCGAUUGAGGCUUAUUUUGUUUUUGUUUUUUUCUGAGCAAGUGGUUUUUGGUCAAGUGACCAAAGGUGGAACUUACCUUUCUGUUGCGAAUUAGCUUGGCCAGGUCGACGGCAGGUAUCUCCAGCAGAUGGCUGCGUAUGGGUGGCAGCUUGCGCCGCAUCACCUUGAUGUUGGUGUAGCGGCUGUAGGGCACCACAAACCAGCUGAA